GACGUAGGGCGCGAGCGUUGUCCGGAUUUAUUGGGCGUAAAGAGCUCGUAGGCGGCUUGUUGCGUCGACCGUGAAAGCCCGGGGCUCAACUCCGGAAUUGCCUUUAAGACUGCAUCGCUAGAAUUGUGGAGAGGUAAGUGGAAUUCCGAGUGUAGAGGUGAAAUUCGUAGAUAUUCGGAAGAACACCAGUGGCGAAGGCGACUUUACUGGACACAUAUUGACGCUGAGGUGCGAAAGCGUGGGGAGCGAACAGG
rnacentral:rRNA from 1 species